GGUCUGGUGGUGUAGUUGGUUAUCACGUCAGUCUAACAGCUCGAGUAGCUUCACCUCUCUCGUCUGCCACACUGAAGGUCUCCGGUUCAAGUCCGGGCUAGAUCA
rnacentral:tRNA from 1 species